rnacentral:rRNA from 1 species
AUUGAACGCUGGCGGCAUGCCUUACACAUGCAAGUCGAACGGCAGCACGGGAGCUUGCUCCUGGUGGCGAGUGGCGAACGGGUGAGUAAUACAUCGGAACGUACCCUGAAGUGGGGGAUAACGUAGCGAAAGUUACGCUAAUACCGCAUAUUCUGUGAGCAGGAAAGAGGGGGAUCGCAAGACCUCUUGCUUUAGGAGCGGCCGAUGUCGGAUUAGCUAGUUGGUGAGGUAAAGGCUCACCAAGACGACGAUCCGUAGCGGGUCUGAGAGGAUGAUCCGCCACACUGGGACUGAGACACGGCCCAGACUCCUACGGGAGGCAGCAGUGGGGAAUUUUGGACAAUGGGCGCAAGCCUGAUCCAGCCAUGCCGCGUGAGUAAAGAAGGCCUCGG